GACAGAGGGUGCAAACGUUGUUCGGAAUUACUGGGCGUAAAGCGCGUGUAGGCAGCUUCGCAAGUCGGGUGUGAAAGCCCUGGGCUCAACCUAGGAAGUGCACUCGAAACUGCGGAGCUUGAGUCUCGGAGAGGGUCGCGGAAUUCUCGGUGUAGAGGUGAAAUUCGUAGAUAUCGAGAGGAACACCGGUGGCGAAGGCGGCGACCUGGACGAUGACUGACGCUGAGACGCGAAAGCGUGGGGAGCGAACAGG
rnacentral:rRNA from 1 species